rnacentral:rRNA from 1 species
GUGUAGCGGUGAAAUGCGUAGAUAUAUGGAAGAACACCAGUGGCGAAGGCGGCUGUCUGGUCUGUAACUGACGCUGAGGCUCGAAAGCAUGGGUAGCGAACAGGAUUAGAUACCCUGGUAGUCCAUGCCGUAAACGAUGAAUGCUAGGUGUUGGAGGGUUUCCGCCCUUCAGUGCCGCAGCUAACGCAUUAAGCAUUCCGCCUGGGGAGUACGACCGCAAGGUUGAAACUCAAAGGAAUUGACGGGGGCCCGCACAAGCGGUGGAGCAUGUGGUUUAAUUCGAAGCAACGCGAAGAACCUUACCAGGUCUUGACAUCUUUUGAUCACCUGAGAGAUCAGGUUUCCCCUUCGGGGGCAAAAUGACAGGUGGUGCAUGGUUGUCGUCAGCUCGUGUCGUGAGAUGUUGGGUUAAGUCCCGGCACGAGCGCAACCCUUAUGACUAGUUGCCAGCAUUUAGUUGGGCACUCUAGUAAGACUGCCGGUGACAAACCGGAGGAAGGUGGGGAUGACGUCAAAUCAUCAUGCCCCUUAUGACCUGGGCUACACACGUGCUACAAUGGAUGGUACAACGAGUUGCGAGACCGCGAGGUCAAGCUAAUCUCUUAAAGCCAUUCUCAGUUCGGACUGUAGGCUGCAACUCGCCUACACGAAGUCGGAAUCGCUAGUAAUCGCGGAUCAGCACGCCGCGGUGAAUACGUUCCCGGGCCUUGUACACACCGCCCGUCACACCAUGAGAGUUUGUAACACCCGAAGCCGGUGGCGUAACCCUUUUAGGGAGCGAGCCGUCUAAGGUGGGACAAAUGAUUAGGGUGAAGUCGUAACAAGGUAGCCGUAGGAGAACCUGCGGCUG